CUUCAUUGUUUGUAUCACCGAAAGUAGAAAAGAAAAGCUAGGUUUGAGAGCUUGAAAUAUUCGGCCCUUUUGAAAGCUUAAUUCAAGAUCAAGAAACCAAGAAAUCGGAUUUAGAUCGGGGGAAAUCAAAGGUAGUUGAGUAGCCGAUUUAUUAGUCGACGAUAUCCGAGAUUUUGGUGAUCGCUACGUGUUCGGGGAUCGUCAGCUAAGCUCAUCACACUAUCGGUGUCUUCUUUUGGUAUUUUGCUAAAUUGUUUUCAAGUAUAUGGCAUGUAUAGCAUAGUUAAAAAUGUUGAUUUUGAAACCAAUGUGUUUGUGUAAUUAAAAGCCAUGCGAAAA